AGAGCCUUGGCUGUUACACAUCAUAUCCCAGCCCACUUGGCAGCAUCUAUAUGAGACCAGGUUUGUAACUAUUGCACUAUUACCCUCCCUCCAGCUCCUUCUCUCCUCCUUUCUUUGCAGAGCAGUCUCCAGUCCAAAACAGAAGGAGAAUGUCAGGGAGAAAAAGAGCUUUCAGAGCAAUUUGGAUAAUCCUGUAAUGAAGGAAGAAUAAAGGAAGGAUAGAGAGAUGAGAAGCAAUGCUAUUUAGCACAAAGAUGGAGCAGAUGAGAGCUGGAAGUAGGAUAUAGUCUGCUGAGCAUCUCCUUGCCCUGAUCCUACUGAGAUGGCACCUGAAUCCAGUUCUGCUGGUGUGAACUUCAUCAAGAUGGUCAGGCUAACCUGAGAAACAACAGCUGAGUGCAGCUUAGCCAAAAUAUUUAAAUAACUCAGUAUUUCUCUGCCCACAAAGGGUCCUACUAGUAAAUGAUGCUUGCACCUUAUACACAUAUGAACUAUGUCAGAGCUUAAUUAGUCUAUUUUCCAGCAGUUCAGUGCAUAAAGGUUUGUAACACAAUGCCCCCCUGUAAUAUUUGUUUACUUCUAAACUAAGUGGACCUUUCCCAAAAAAUAUUCUUGCAUGGAUAACACAAUUUUUCAAAUGCCUUAUCAGCUAGAGCCUAAAGGAGAAAUGCAAUCCCUCUUAUGCAGUUCUGGUAUUUUCUUCACUGUUUCAUCCAGGACUGUAAGGAAAAGCAAUGAUACAGAAUGAGAGAUCAACUGAAGAACCAUUUUCAGCAAUGCAUGCCAGAUGGCUGAAUCAAGAACAAACUGAACUGAAGCUACAGAGUGACUUGAAAAUCAAAGAGCCAAAGGAAAAGGCAGGUCCCAAAGGUUGCUCCUCUGUGGAAGGACAUUUGCCAAAGUCUGAGCAACUAGGACUGCAGGAUGAAAGCUACCAAUAAUCUAAUUUAAUUUCUCUGAAGACAAAUGUUCAAAGACUCAGGAUACACAGAUCCUAAAGUAAAACAAAGCAAUGAACAGUCCAAGGGGAGGAUACUUUGCAAAGUUCUGGUAUUGGUUAUACAGUAUAAAUCCAAAAUAAGUCCACUGACUUUGUUCUUCGUGUCAUUAAAUCUACAUACCUGAAACUAUUCAGGCCUUUUGAGGUUUUUUGUUUGUUUUCUUUGUGGGGGCAUUAUGGUGUGUGUGUGUGGUUUGUUUUGUUUUGUCUUGUUGUUGUUUUUUGGGUUUUUUUUGUUUUUGUUUGGUGUGUUGGGCUUUUGUUGUCUUGUUGUUGUUGGUUUUUUGUUGUUGUUUUGUUUGGGGUUUUUUUGGUUUUUUGUCCUUUUUUUUCCCUAGAUUGACAAAAUGACUUGCAGUCAUUUGGACCUCAUUCUGCUUUUACAGAGACUGGUUUGUAUGAUGAGCAAAAGCAUUCAGUGAUCUGGGUCCUGAAUUUACGGACCAAGAACGA